rnacentral:tRNA from 2 species
GCCCUCAUAGCUCAGUUGGUAGAGCGCGUUCUUGGUAAGAACGAGGUCAUGGGUUCGAAUCCCAUUGAGGGCU